AAUCUGCCCAGUCGUGGGGGAUAACUAGCCGAAAGGUUAGCUAAUACCGCAUACGACCGAGAGGUGAAAGCGGGGGACCGCAAGGCCUCGCGCGAUUGGAUGAGCCGACGUCGGAUUAGCUAGUUGGUAGGGUAAAGGCCUACCAAGGCGACGAUCCGUAGCUGGUCUGAGAGGAUGAUCAGCCACACUGGAACUGAGACACGGUCCAGACUCCUACGGGAGGCAGCAGUGGGGAAUAUUGGACAAUGGGCGCAAGCCUGAUCCAGCAAUGCCGCGUGUGU
rnacentral:rRNA from 1 species